CAGAGGGGGCAAGCGUUGUUCGGAAUUGCUGGGCGUAAAGGGCGCGUAGGCGGCCUGUUAAGUCGAACGUGAAAUCCCCGGGCUCAACCCGGGAACUGCGUCCGAUACCGGCAGGCUUGAAUUCGGGAGAGGGAUGCGGAAUUCCAGGUGUAGCGGUGAAAUGCGUAGAUAUCUGGAGGAACACCGGUGGCGAAGGCGGCAUCCUGGACCGAGAUUGACGCUGAGGCGCGAAAGCCAGGGGAGCAAACGGGAUUAGAUACCCCGGUAGUCCUGGCCCUAAACGAUGAAUGCUUGGUGUGGCGGGUAUCGAUCCCUGCCGUGCCGAAGCUAACGCAUUAAGCAUUCCGCCUGGGGAGUACGGUCGCAAGGCUG
rnacentral:rRNA from 1 species